rnacentral:rRNA from 1 species
UAGGGAAUCUUCCGCAAUGGGCGAAAGCUUGACGGAGCAACGCCGCGUGAGUGAUGAAGGUCUUCGGAUCGUAAAACUCUGUUAUUAGGGAAGAACAAAUGUGUAAGUAACUAUGCACGUCUUGACGGUACCUAAUCAGAAAGCCACGGCUAACUACGUGCCAGCAGCCGCGGUAAUACGUAGGUGGCAAGCGUUAUCCGGAAUUAUUGGGCGUAAAGCGCGCGUAGGCGGUUUUUUAAGUCUGAUGUGAAAGCCCACGGCUCAACCGUGGAGGGUCAUUGGAAACUGGAGAACUUGAGUGCAGAAGAGGAAAGUGGAAUUCCAUGUGUAGCGGUGAAAUGCGCAGAGAUAUGGAGGAACACCAGUGGCAAAGGCGACUUUCUGGUCUGUAACUGACGCUGAUGUGCGAAAGCGUGGGGAUCAAACAGG